rnacentral:rRNA from 1 species
UACAGAGGGUGCAAGCGUUGUUCGGAAUUACUGGGCGUAAAGGGCGUGUAGGCGGCUUAGCAAGUCAGAUGUGAAAUCCCGGGGCUUAACUUCGGAAGUGCAUUUGAAACUGCUAGGCUAGAGUGAGGUAGAGGUUGGUGGAAUUCCCAGUGUAGAGGUGAAAUUCGUAGAUAUUGGGAGGAACACCGGUGGCGAAGGCGGCCAACUGGGCCUUAACUGACGCUGAGGCGCGAAAGCGUGGGGAGCAAACAGG